AACCUUUUGCAAAGCACUACUCUGAUUGAAUUCUUCCACUCUCUUCUCCAGCUCCUCAAUUUUGAAGAAUGAAAAAGAACUUCAAGAA